rnacentral:rRNA from 1 species
AGUGAACGCUGGCGGCAGGCUUAACACAUGCAAGUCGAACGGCAGCACAGUAAGAGUGUGCUCUUCCGGAUGGCGAGAGGCGGACGGGUGAGGAAUACAACGGAACCUACUUUUUCGGGGGGGAUAACGUAGGGAAACUUACGCCAAUACCGCAUACGACCUACGGGUGAAAGCAGGGGAUCUUAGGAGCUUGCGCGAUUGAAUGCGCCGAUGUUGGAUUAGCUAGUUGGCGGGGUAAAGGCCCACCAAGGCGACGAUCCGUUGCUCGUCUGAGAGGUUGGUCGGCCACCCUAGAGCUUGGACACGGUCCAGACGCCUACGGGAGGCAGCAGAAGGGAAUGUUAGACAGUGGGCGCAAACCUUGUCCAGUCCUACCACGUGGGUUGCAAAGACCUUGGGUGCGUAAAGCCCUUUUGUUGGUAAUGAACAGCAUCAGGUUAAUACCCAGCUGUUCUGACGGUACCCGGAGAAUAAGCACCGGCUAACUUCGUG